GCGUCAGUGGUGCAACGGUUCAGCGUGCGCCCCUGAGGGAGUGAAAUGUGGGUUCGAAUCCCAAGUGACGCA